UAAAGGUAUUCCGGUAGACGAUGGGGAUGCGUUCCAUUAGAUAGUAGGCGGGGUAACGGCCCACCUAGUCUUCGAUGGAUAGGGGUUCUGAGAGGAAGGUCCCCCACAUUGGAACUGAGACACGGUCCAAACUCCUACGGGAGGCAGCAGUGAGGAAUAUUGGUCAAUGGGCGAGAGCCUGAACCAGCCAAGUAGCGUGAAGGAUGACUGCCCUAUGGGUUGUAAACUUCUUUUAUAAAGGAAUAAAGUCGGGUAUGGAUACCCGUUCGCAUGUACUUUAUGAAUAAGGAUCGGCUAACUCCGUGCCAGCAGCCGCGGUAAUACGGAGGAUCCGAGCGUUAUCCGGAUUUAUUGGGUUUAAAGGGAGCGUAGAUGGAUGUUUAAGUCAGUUGUGAAAGUUUGCGGCUCAACCGUAAAAUUGCAGUUGAUACUGGAUAUCUUGAGUGCAGUUGAGGCAGGCGGAAUUCGUGGUGUAGCGGUGAAAUGCUUAGAUAUCACGAAGAACUCCGAUUGCGAAGGCAGCCUGCUAAGCUGCAACUGACAUUGAGGCUCGAAAGUGUGGGUAUCAAACAGGAUUAGAUACCCUGGUAGUCCACACGGUAAACGAUGAAUACUCGCUGUUUGCGAUAUACUGCAA
rnacentral:rRNA from 1 species